AACGAACGCUGGCGGCAUGCCUAACACAUGCAAGUCGAACGAGACCUUCGGGUCUAGUCGCGCACGGGUGCGUAACGCGUGGGAACCUGCCCUUAGGUUCGGAAUAACUCCCCGAAAGGGGUGCUAAUACCGGAUCAUGUCUUCGGACCAAAGAUUUAUCGCCUUUGGAUGGGCCCGCGUUGGAUUAGCUAGUUGGUAGGGUAAAAGCCUACCAAGGCGACGAUCCAUAGCUGGUCUGAGAGGAUGAUCAGCCACACUGGGACUGAGACACGGCCCAGACUCCUACGGGAGGCAGCAGUGGGGAAUAGUGGACAGUGGGCGAAAGCCUGAUCCAGCAAUGCCGCGUGAGUGAUGAAGGCCUUAGGGUUGUAAAGCUCUUUUAACCGGGAUGAUAAUGACAGUACCGGGAGAAUAAGCUCCGGCUAACUCCGUG
rnacentral:rRNA from 1 species